rnacentral:rRNA from 1 species
CGUGGCGUGGUAGAGAGCGGCAUAAGCUGAGGAGGUGGCGGGCGGGGGACCUAACCCUCGGUUCUUUUCGUCUGGUAACAAAGUUUUUUCUUUUUCUUUUCGUCUGGUAUCUAGGAGCCUUUGGUCGCGGAGGCUAGGUAAGGCGGAGACGGCGAACGAGGGGGCGGCGUCGGGACGUGGGCCUCCGACGGACGAAGAGGACGGGUCGCGAGGGCGUUCAGCGUCGGUUCUUUACCGAGCUGGACUCCUCUUGCGCUUUAAGGGGUCGACACUACGGAUGAAACUGUGAUAGGUCAGGUUCUUCUUCGAGGGAGAUCGAAACGUCCUUAGGGACUGGCGGCGGAAACGAGUCUAGGGUCAGCGUAGCAAAGGACUACAAGGAUCACCGGCUCACUGGCUUUAAGGACCUCUUUGAAGGCAAGAACUACGACAAUCUUAAAAUAGACUCGUGUUGUAUUCCCGUCGCGGUCACGAAUUGGGACUUGGACCCCGAGGUCGACUAACCGUUCCCUCCAUAGAACCGUAGUAGCUCAUGAGUCGGUAGUAGGAAACCCAUGAUCUAUUACGACUAGAGCGCCGGCAUCGAGACAGUCGACCUAGUCGUUGACGACGUCCUCAACCUUACCCACGACAACCACGUCACCCGCACCGUCGUAAUCCACAUUGGCCGGGCCGUCGACAGCGACCUAACUGACGACGACGUCAUCCCCGACGACAACGACCGCCCAAUUGACGACUUUUCCCACAACGCUUCCUACCUCAAUGACGACGACUAGUAAAUCCCCUUCUAAAGAUGUUUCAAGACGAAGUCGUUCUUGGAAAGUUUAGCUGAUGUCAAGCCAGUUAACAACUCAGGAUGGGUACCAGAGGAAAACACGGACAAUGUGAACUGUCAAGUUACGAACGGCAUGAUGACAACGAGAGGUUCAUGUCCAACUCCUUACACGGACACUAGCUUGGACUAUUCGGUCAAUAAUUCUUGAAGUAAUGAGUCUGACCACAACAAUUUCCUGAAGUCGUCACAUUUCCUUCCCUAACCAAGCUGAUAUAAAGCCGUGAAGGAGAAAGUCUGAACCCCGAAGGUAAGUACAGAGAACUACUCCAAUAAUGCCAAUUGUCACUACUAGAUUAGAAUCUUCGAAAGUUCACGUACUUCCUAUUGUUUUAACCGCCACAUGGGCAUCAUCUUCCAGGGGCUUCCUUUGAACAACCAUCACACUCGUAUUCCCUGUAAGCGAAGGACAACGAAUCCGGACUGAAUAAAAGACUAAAGUCCGUGGAAUGGCACAACCUAAAGUACUUCCGAGAUCCAAGGUGAGAAGGACUGAGCCCCCUGUUACCCGACCACUUCGGCGGUGAGUGGACACGUGGACUACGAAGGUACCCGUCGCACUAGCUGUCGUAGCCCAGCUCCUAUUGGGUGGCCUAUAUGCACCACCUACCGCUGAAACUCCACCAGCCACAACACUGUGACGCUCUACACUAGAGAACGAAGUAGGUGCUCGGGGGACCGAAGACGCUGUCAAUAGAACGAAGUCGCUACCUCUUCGAGCUCCUGUUCCCGCUACGGCUAAGGAGGCAACUCUUGUCGACUCGGGAGGCAACUCUUGUCGACUCGAGAGCCCUCUCGUUCUGCCACCUUUAUUGUCUGUCCCAAUCACUCGUUCAGAACAUCAACCCGACUAAGCAAGUACAACACCACAACUAUGUCAUUUAAGACACACCCCACUGUUGUGUAAAGUCACGGAGACAACCACAGUUGACACGCAACGACUCAACCGACUAGGCGUGGACAAAGGACUACGUUUGUGACGUCACCGCUAAGACACUACACAUUUUCCCAAUUGCUUGGUUACUAAUGGGUUAGAGUCAGCAGUACACAUGGAGACAUAGGAGGAGCUAGUUAGCUCAUCAGACUACAUACCGUCAACAAAUUCGGAACGUCCGCACGCGUCCAAAAGACAAAAUAGGAACUCG